rnacentral:tRNA from 2 species
GAGAGGAGAUUUAAUCAACAAGAACUGCUAAUUCUUGAGUCUGAGUAUAAAACCUCAGUCCUCUUA